UAAUGCCAUCACAAAAGGUACCCCAGGGAGCUCUCUUGCCCUCUUUCACCAUGUGAAGAUACAAGACAGCAACCUGCAAACAAGAUGCAGGCCCUCACCAGACCAAAGUCAUACUGGAAGCCUGAUGUCAAGAGUUCCAGCCUCAGAGCUUUGAGAAAUAAGAAUUUAGUCACUUCCAAACUGCACGUCCUCCAAGGAACUUAUCUUGAGCUUGAUGAGAACUUAAACUUCAGAUCAAGAUGAAUUCUUUCCAAAUUCCUGACUAUGGAACUCUCGUACCUCUCUGACACCCUAGCCACUGCCCACCGGUUCCUCAGGAAAUCACUGAUUUCUGCCAAGGCACCUCAUGAUUAUUCUUUCCAUUCCA